rnacentral:rRNA from 1 species
GGGUUGUGAGGUUAAGCGACUAAGCGUACACGGUGGAUGCCCUGGCAGUCAGAGGCGAUGAAGGACGUGCUAAUCUGCGAUAAGCGUCGGUAAGGUGAUAUGAACCGUUAUAACCGGCGAUUUCCGAAUGGGGAAACCCAGUGUGUUUCGACACACUAUCAUUAACUGAAUCCAUAGGUUAAUGAGGCGAACCGGGGGAACUGAAACAUCUAAGUACCCCGAGGAAAAGAAAUCAACCGAGAUUCCCCCAGUAGCGGCGAGCGAACGGGGAGCAGCCCAGAGCCUGAAUCAGUGUGUGUGUUAGUGGAAGCGUCUGGAAAGGCGCGCGAUACAGGGUGACAGCCCCGUACACAAAAAUGCACAUACUGUGAGCUCGAUGAGUAGGGCGGGACACGUGGUAUCCUGUCUGAAUAUGGGGGGACCAUCCUCCAAGGCUAAAUACUCCUGACUGACCGAUAGUGAACCAGUACCGUGAGGGAAAGGCGAAAAGAACCCCGGCGAGGGGAGUGAAAAAGAACCUGAAACCGUGUACGUACAAGCAGUGGGAGCACGCUUAGGCGUGUGACUGCGUACCUUUUGUAUAAUGGGUCAGCGACUUAUAUUCUGUAGCAAGGUUAACCGAAUAGGGGAGCCGAAGGGAAACCGAGUCUUAACUGGGCGUUAAGUUGCAGGGUAUAGACCCGAAACCCGGUGAUCUAGCCAUGGGCAGGUUGAAGGUUGGGUAACACUAACUGGAGGACCGAACCGACUAAUGUUGAAAAAUUAGCGGAUGACUUGUGGCUGGGGGUGAAAGGCCAAUCAAACCGGGAGAUAGCUGGUUCUCCCCGAAAGCUAUUUAGGUAGCGCCUCGUGAAUUCAUCUCCGGGGGUAGAGCACUGUUUCGGCAAGGGGGUCAUCCCGACUUACCAACCCGAUGCAAACUGCGAAUACCGGAGAAUGUUAUCACGGGAGACACACGGCGGGUGCUAACGUCCGUCGUGAAGAGGGAAACAACCCAGACCGCCAGCUAAGGUCCCAAAGUCAUGGUUAAGUGGGAAACGAUGUGGGAAGGCCCAGACAGCCAGGAUGUUGGCUUAGAAGCAGCCAUCAUUUAAAGAAAGCGUAAUAGCUCACUGGUCGAGUCGGCCUGCGCGGAAGAUGUAACGGGGCUAAACCAUGCAC